GAGGGUAUGGCUCAGUGGUAGAGCGCGUGCUUAUCAUGUACUAGGUCCUGGGUUCAAUCCCCAGUGCCUCCA
rnacentral:tRNA from 1 species